GAAUCACCGCUCCGCCUCCAGCGCGCGGGGCUGGGGAAUCGGCUUCUUUCCGGCGCUGGCGAUGGCUGCUCGGAGGUGAGGGGUUUUCUUCAAAGUCCGGGGACCUCGUCUCGCCUGGAGGGUCAGAUUUGACAGCAAUGUCGUGUGUGCCUGUGUGCAAGGGAGGCCUCCUCUUCUAAACUCAGCCCUCACCCUCCUGGCAGCCACGGGAGGGCCUUUCAGAAAAUGAUCACUUAUUUGGAUCCUGGAUACAAAUUAAUGGAAAGAGGCCAAGAGGAAAAAUAAUAAUCUAUAUAGCGCUUUGAUUAAAGUGAGUGCACAUUCUUUGAUCUGAGAGGAUUAUUGUAUUGGUUCUGGAUUUAGAAAUGUAUAGAAUAAAAUCAUAUGUGUAAUUUCUCAAA